rnacentral:sRNA from 1 species
CGGAAGUGCCUUUCUGAACUGGCCUGAUUGAUGCGUAGAGAACACCAAUCCUCCCAGCUCAAGGGGCACUUUCCUCAUUCCGACACCCCACGACCAACCAAUUUAUCGGUGGAUCGAG